GCCAGGGCCAUAUCUCGCUGUAGUUCUCACCUGGUUUCCUACUGAAGCUAAGCAGGGUUGAGCCUGGCCCGUACCUGGAUGGGUGAGGUUGCAACUGAGGUUGCUGCUGGAA
rnacentral:rRNA from 1 species